rnacentral:rRNA from 1 species
UGCCCUUAGAGUUUGAUCCUGGCUCAGAAUGAACGUUGGCGGCGUGGAUUAGGCAUGCAAGUCGUACGCAUAGCUUCGGCUAUGAGUGGCGCAAGGGUGAGUAAUGCGAAGGUAACCAACCCUGGUGUUGGGCAUAGCCGCGGGAAACUGCGGGUAAUUCCCAGCGACGUCACGAGAUGGCAUCAUCUUGUGACCAAAGGUGUGGUUCCGCUCUAGGACGGGCCUUCGUGGUAUUAGGUAGUUGGUGAGGUAACGGCUCACCAAGCCGACGAUGCCUACCGGGUGUGAGAGCAUGACCCGGCACACUGGGACUGAGAUACGGCCCAGACUCCUACGGGAGGCAGCAGGGAGGAAUAUUGGGCAAUGGGGGAAACCCUGACCCAGCAACGCCGCGUGAAGGAAGAAGGCCCUCGGGUUGUAAACUUCUGUUUUCAGGGACGAAAAAAAUGACGGUACCUGGAGAGAAAGCUCCGGCAAACUACGUGCCAGCAGCCGCGGUAAUAAGGGC